GCAGCAGUAGGGAAUCUUCCACAAUGGACGCAAGUCUGAUGGAGCAACGCCGCGUGAGUGAAGAAGGUUUUCGGAUCGUAAAGCUCUGUUGUUGGUGAAGAAGGAUAGAGGUAGUAACU
rnacentral:rRNA from 1 species